CAGAGAGGAGGCAGCGGGAGAGCCCAGAGAAGAUGGGGUCUCUUCAGCCAGGGUACCCGCAGAGGCUUCCUGAAAGAGCUGCCUUCUGAGCAGGACCCCCAGGCUAGGAAGACGUGCACCUGCUGAGCUGGGCAGAAGAGGGUGGCCCGGAGGAGGACCCAGCAUGGACAGAGCUCACGGGAAAUAAAGGAGCCACGUUACAUGAUAAACUGCAAAGUGUGGUGAACGUGUGAACAAGUGUCCGGAUCCAGUGAAGCCCCGGGCUACUGGGCUACGAGUCAGUGGGUCCCAUGGUGAAGUGGCAUGUCACGAGCUGAAGGAGGGGCACCUGCAUGCCAGCUUGUGAACUAACUAGACGACCUUUGGACCUUCUGGAGCCUCAGUUUCUCAUACUAUGAAUUGGAGUAGAAUUCCCAGGGUGCUGGAGGUUGAAAGGCAUUGAGAAUCUAAGAUGCUUUGCGGACAGCAAGACCCUCUGUGUGAGUUACGAAUUCUCACGAGGGCCCUGCGGGUACUCAGGGGGACGCUUUUACUUCUCCAGAACAUUCUGCAGGUGAGCUGGGGAAGCCCACUGGCCCCUGGCCUCACCCCCAAGCCUGAGCCUUCGGCCUGGGAAUGGUGUGGCCUCUCCCUCGUCAGCCGCCAGCCUGGCCCCGCAGGACCCUGGGCGGGAACCCAGGAACCCUCGGCCGUGCCACCCGCUAUGUGCUUCCCCAAGAAGCACUCCCUGUGGCCUAAUUUGAGAAAACAAUGGUCCUCAAUCCAUAUUAAUGACCCUCGAGGGACCCUUUGUAAGCAGUGCACAGGCUGUAAUCAGCAGGGCUCCCGGGGCUCUGGCCUAAUUUGGAGGGACAGGUUUUAUCAUCACCGCUGAUUCGGGUGACCCAAUCUGACAGGCCCACAACUCCCUGUGUGCAGGGUCCACGUCGGAGGUGGGUUUCUUCCCAGCGGCCCACCCUGGCGGGCUGGGGAGAGGGGAGGGGGAGCUGGCGGUCAUGAGGGAAGUCCGGGGUGAAGAAGGGGUCACAGCCAGACCCCCGCUUGGAUGGGCCUGUGAUCGCGGUCUCGGGAGGAGCGGGGUAUUGAUUAGAUCAGUGGAUGGUGUGGAGGCAGCUCUCCCGGGCACGCGCUCCUGACCACCCACCAGCAAGCGUCUGUUGCCUGCCGGCGCCAGGCCUGGGUGGGGACUCUGGGACAGGCUGGCUGCCUAGGAGGGGCAAGGCAGAAGCCAAGGGGCAGGCUCCAGGGACCGCCAGGCAGGGCCCCAGGGAAGGGAGGCGGGAAAGCCCCUUGACUGCCUCCCGCCUGAAGUCAUGGAAACGUAUUUGCAGGUGAAGGCCGGGGCCUCCUGGUCGCACUGUCUGUGCACCUAUGGAGUGCUGGAUACAUGACAGGUGUUGCCUCAAUGCUUCCCUCAACCUUCCCAGGCCUCAAUCCCCACAUUCUGGGUCAGGAAGUUCAUUCAAGGUCAAGAGGUGGGCGAAGGAUGGCAAGACAAACCCAGGGACUGGCUCCUGAGCCUGACACGUGUCCUCACUCACCCAGGAGUCCCUUGCAUGCCCUCCAGGCUGCUGGGUUUGGGCGCAUUAGAGCCUAAGAUGAAGGUUUGAGUCUGCACGCUUGCUGCAUACCAAAUGUGUCUCCUCCCGAGAUCCACAUGUUGAAGCCUUAACCCCCAGUGCGAUGGCAUUUGGAGAG